rnacentral:rRNA from 1 species
CCGGGGGCGGCGUGCUUAACACAUGCAAGUCGAACGCGAAAGUUUUCUUCGGAAAGCGAGUAGAGUGGCGCACGGGUGAGUUACGCGUAAGUAAUCUACCCUGGUAUCUGGGAUAACCCACCGAAAGGUGUGCUAAUACCGGAUACGCUGAUUUAUCAGGAAAGGUGGCCUCUUCAUGAAAGCUACUGUACCAGGAGGAGCUUGCGUACCAUUAGCUAGUUGGUAGGGUAAUGGCCUACCAAGGCAACGAUGGUUAGCGGGUCUGAGAGGAUGAUCCGCCACACUGGAACUGGAACACGGACCAGACUCCUACGGGAGGCAGCAGUGAGGAAUAUUGCGCAAUGGGGGAAACCCUGACGCAGCGACGCCGCGUGGAUGAUGAAGGCCUUCGGGUCGUAAAAUCCUGUCAGAUGGAAAGAAGUGUAUAUUACCUAAUACGUGAUAUAUUUGACGGUACCAUCAAAGGAAGCACCGGCUAACUCCGUGCCAGCAGCCGCGGUAAUACGGAGGGUGCAAGCGUUGUUCGGAAUUACUGGGCGUAAAGCGCGCGUAGGCGGCUUUUUAAGUCAGAUGUGAAAGUCCACGGCUCAACCGUGGAAGUGCAUUUGAAACUGGAAGGCUUGAGUACUGGAGGGGGUGGUGGAAUUCCCGGUGUAGAGGUGAAAUUCGUAGAUAUCGGGAGGAAUACCGGUGGCGAAGGCGACCACCUGGCCAGAUACUGACGCUGAGGUGCGAAAGCGUGGGGAGCAAACAGGAUUAGAUACCCUGGUAGUCCACGCCGUAAACGAUGUCAACUAGGUGUUGGGGCGGUUAAUCGUCUCAUUGCCGGAGCUAACGCAUUAAGUUGACCGCCUGGGGAGUACGGUCGCAAGAUUA